UACGUAGGGGGGCAAGCGUUGUCCGGAUUUAUUGGGCGUAAAGAGCGUGUAGGCGGUCAGGUAGGUCCGUUGUGAAAACUCGAGGCUCAACCUCGAGACGCCGAUGGAAACCAUCUGACUAGAGUCCGGAAGAGGAGAGUGGAAUUCCUGGUGUAGCGGUGAAAUGCGCAGAUAUCAGGAAGAACACCCGUGGCUAAGGCGGCUCUCUAGUACGGUACUGACGCUGAGACGCGAAAGCGUGGGGGAGCGAACAGG
rnacentral:rRNA from 1 species